rnacentral:lncRNA from 1 species
CCAGACGGAGUUAUGGUGUGUGGCUGGGAGGCUAUUUUGUCUAAUACACUAAGAGGCCUUUGGAAAUUCCUGGAGCCCAUCUGGUCCUAGUUACACCACAAUAUUGCUGUCUCUUAAGAUCGCAGACAAGGGAACUCUUUUAUUUCUCCUUUCGGAGCUCAGGAAUGUGCCGAAAAUACAGGCCGGCAGACGCCCAUCUGGUUCCCGAGGUCCCGGAUCACGUGCGGGACCCAUCAUCUUUUUAAAGGCUACAGCUCCUUCCCCAGGAAUUCUGAGGUGCCGUGCAGGGCUGAGGCCCUGGAGGGGGUGCCUGGCUUUGUGAUGUGCCCCAGUCUCCAUACAGCAGGAGCUCUUGGAAAGGGCCCACUAGCCUGGAUUGGAGUGGCACCUGGUUGUGCAGGUUUUCCCAAUCAGACCAGGAACCUGAGAAAGUUCCUUGACCAAUCCAAGUGCCCUCAGCCUCUGUCAGUGGGGUCGGCCGGUCUGAGAGGUGUCAGUUAUCAGUCCUGACUCACUUGGCAGCUCUGCCUGCACACAGCCACCCCCAGAACCAGAGGUGAGAGAGAUAUGGAGGACCCGCCUCUCCGCAGCCCCCUGGGGCCCAGGCUGGCCAUUCCCCCUCUUCCCUGGGCUAGAGCCUGUGUGUGUUUCUUCCUGGAGUUCCAGUCCCCAUGGGUCCCUCCACGGCUCCUGCUGCCACAGGGUUCAUAGGCUGGUGUGACCACUCUGUGCACUUGCUCUCACAUGCCUGGCUGGCUCACUCUUGGCUACUGCCCCAGACAACUGUUUGGAGCCGCUGGUACCUUCCUGCCUUCCUGGAGGAGCUCCUGGCCUCAAUCCUAGGCCAUCACAGUCUCAGGCCCCUGUGCAUCCCUGGCCCAGUCUCCCUGCCCCAGGGGUAGUGUGUGAUUCAAGUUUAGAUCAUCCUAGUCCAGCCUGGCAAGGCUGUACCCCUGUGCCCUCGGAACUUGGAUGUGUCCAUGGACUUGCUUCAUGGACUGUGUCUCCCGGGUGGAAGCUUUCUGAGCCUGUGGGCUAUUCUCUGAGUGCCCUCUCCUUCGCUGCAGUGAUGGCAGGAGCACAUUCUGAGUCGUGGCAUCUGUUAGUCUGGGUCCCUGAAAGAUUGAGGUGAGCAGAGCCCCCAGGCAGACUGGGAUGGAUGUUCAGAGUGAGUGAGAAAUUAACCAUCACUGAGGUUUUACAUGGCGUGAUGCACAGUGUGACCUUGCCCAUCCUGACCUACCCAUCCCCUGUCCCUGAACAUGGAGAUGGUUUAGUGAUGCAGUGUAACUCAAACUGCACCAGAGUCCUUACCUAGACUUUUAUUUGGGAUCGCAGGAGAAGGACCCUUGUCUCACAUGUUACACAGCAGCUCUAUUUUUAUCACAAAGAUAAAAGGUACAAAAGAGUGAAAUGGAGGGAGAACAACAUAAAACAUAAUGGAGAAAGAGAGAAUCCUGGUGACGUCAAGAGAGGCCAUGGACAGCUGUACAAGUUGUGCAUUACACAAUUCUGAAGUGGUUGGUCACUGAGGAAUCACUGGAGAUUUGCGUAUUUCUCAGGACAGUUUCCCAGCAGGUGGCAGUAAAGUGUCUUGAGGAAGUGGAGUCUUACUCUGCUUGGCAUAGAAGGGCUGUCCAGGCUGGUGGCCUUGCUGUGUCAGGUCCCCGAGUGACCUCCCAAGCAUCCAGAGCUCCAGCCGUACUUGGUGGCAUUUAUUCUCGUGGGAUGAAUUCCCUUUGUUGUGCAGCUCUGCUCUCAGCAGAAUCAUCCAGUCCAACCAUCCAGUCACCGACAAGAUGCAUUAGGCUUGUUUGCCGAUUUCCAGAGCAAACCCUAGGUGCAUCUCGAAAGAACAGUCCAACAAUAAGAGACAGGACAACUGUUAAAAGCAGCAACAACAAAAUAUCAGUUUGGGGCCAUUUGUGUAGACGUGCGUAACCCUUCCUCUCCCCAUUAUAAGCACCUGGAUCCUUACUCGACCAUGCUGUGGCCUGAGCGUGCUUGGCAAGCUAGCUUUUCUUGAGGAAAACAGAGAAGACAUUGUGUGGUUCACUUCCUCUCAACAGUUAAGUAUAACUGGUGUUGCUGAAAAGGAUAGACCAAAAUUAUCUAGCAAGGGCACAUGUGUGGCUUAAGCUAGAGAAAUAAUGGAUCAUUGUAAAAGGAUGAUGUCGGCCGAGGUCCAGCCCCCAGCUGUCCCCAAUCCAGGAGGGGCUGCCUGCCGGCUGGGGCUGUCACCCUCUUCUGCCUGGCGUUUCUAGAUGUCUAGGACAUUUCCAGGAAGGUUGGGGGGAGGCCCUGGGCUCAGGCAUUGCACGAUCUGGGGUGGGGUCCUGGUGCAGCCUUUUCCAGCUAGAUGACUCCAGACAGAAGCUCCCCCAUUCCGGGCAAAACUGGGAAAGCUGACACCCACCUGCAGGGUCGUUGGGAGGGUCAGGUGUAUGUUGCGGGUGCUUGAUGCACAGAGGCUGGCACAGAGCAGGAUGGUGGAUGCAGGGCGUGGUCAUGAGGACUGGGCCCCCAGGUGCAGAUCACUUCACUUCCUGGAGCCUCAGUUUCCCUGUGCAUCACAUGAAGUUUCCCAGGGUGCUGGGGAACAACCAGGCCCUUCCAGCUUCCAUCGUCUGCUCCCCUGUCAGACAGUAGGGGGGCAGGGACUGGGUCUGCCUCCAGCACUACCCUCAGAGCAGGUCCUGCUGGCACAUAGUAGGUGUUCCAUAAACACUGCAUCUUUGUUCUGGUGGUGAGGAGACUGGCUGGUGCUGGUCAGAGUGGUCUGCAGCCUGCAGGCUGGGGGUGGGGGACAGGCCAGGAGUAGCCUUCACCUAGCCUAGAGAUCACCUACCCAUCCAUGCCUGGAAGGGGCCCCCAAGUCCCCUCUGAAUCCUGAGCAAGUGCCCCACCUCCACCCUGGCCCGGCCCUCCAGGUCUCUCAGUCAGAGCUGCUUGGCCUCUGUAGGACAAUGGGGGCAGCCCUGCCCCUCCUACCCCCGGCAGCCCCGCGCCAACACCACAAUUGUUUUUCCACCUGGAGCUUUCAAGGAGCUGCUGGCAGCCAAGCUGGGGGCUCAGGGUGAGAUGCCCAGUGGGUGUGGGAAGAACCAAGCUUCACCCUCAUCAUCCAGGGCGGACGGCACCUGUCAGGGUCCAUUUCACUUUGGCCUUGGGUGAGUGGCUUCAGUUUCGCCUGUAAAAUGGCGAUAGUAUCUGUACUCCUCCCUCUCAGGCUUGCCGUGAGGAAUAGGUAAGUCAGCCCAUGCAGAGCACUCAGAACUCAGCACGUGCCUGGCGCGUCAUGAAUGCUCCACACAUGUGUUGCCACAGUUACCUUGAUUAUAAGUCAUUCCUGCUGGGGUUCUAGUCUUAAAGCUGACGCUCGAGGCUGCAGUGAAGCGGAUCUGUCACAUUGUCUCCAAGCCCCGGUGGACUGAUAUGUACAAGAGGCCAUGGGCCCAUAGACACGGGGUAGGCGGAAGCCCUCUCCCCUGCCCUUCCCCCCCUUCUUUCUUCUUGCAGCCUGGGAGCUGCCCCAGAGGCAAGGGACAGGUCCCUCUCAGCUCCACUGGCCUCAGAAACGGUGGACCUAUGGCCCCCGGAUGUUGCCACAUCCCAGCCCCCUUUGCACAGAAUUAAAAGUUGAGACUGGGGUGGGGAUAGGGUGGCCGCCAAGCAGAUGUAGGUCGAGCAGAGCCGAGGUGUGGUCAGUCCAGUCCCUGGGGCCCGGUGGGGAGAACAAGCUGUCCCCACCCGGCUGGCUGCUGUCCCUCACUGUUGUUCGGAAGAGAAAGCUGUCAUCAGUCCCAGCGCCUGGGGCCCCGCCCAGCCCUCCGCUCCCCUGGCUCCUUGGCCUGGGCCAGCCCUUGGCUGACCAAGUCGUGCCCUGGGUGAUCCUCCACCCCAAACCAGGGGAUGGAGCAGUGGGUCUCUGCGUACCCUUCGCACUCAAGGCACAGAGACGGAGGACAGACACGGCAGUGAGGGGUGGGCAGGGCACCCAGUAGGCACCCGGGGCCACUCAGGACUAUAGUCCUGCUGGCAUCUGAGAGGCAGAAACGGACAUUGCCUUUUUAGGGAAGAAGGCGUCCAGGUGAGUGCACACAUCCAGCUGUGGGGUGCGGCCCCCCCUGUCCCUGCCUCCCUGCCCCUCCACCUCUCUCGUCCCACCCUGACCCAUUGCAGGUCUGGGCUGUGGAUGGACCAUGUUCCCCAGGAUGGGAUGGGGCCUCCGGAAGGGGAGGAGAGAUUUACAACAUUGGCCAGGAGAGCUGGUCCUGGGCCGGGUGGGUCCUGGAGGAGGAUGGGUCCUGGUGGGACUUUGGUCCUGUCUGCUGGAACCAAGAGGGGCAGCAAGGGAAAUGGAGGCAGAGGCCCAUGGUGAGCUUGACGCUGCAGGGAGAGAGCUGCCUCAUGGCACUUGAGCUCCAGGAUCAUUGUUAGUGCAAGACUCACAGCCUGUGACCUCUAGCCCUACCUGCUAAUGGGAGGGAGACUGCUGCCCCCUCGCCCCUCCACAAUCCCUCUUCCCUGGUCAAGCGGGCCCAGGCUCCAGGCAGGGAGAGGCCAGCUUGGGGAGCAUUGAGGAGACCAGGUCCUGGUUCAGAUCCUGCCUGGCCUAUGCCGCUUCCUGGCUGUGUGACCUGGGGCAGUGCCCUUCUCCUCUCUGAGUCCCCACCCCCCUGUUACAAAGCAGGGAAGCAAUGCCCCCAGCAUCUGAGACUCAGCCGUCAUGUGCCACAAGGCCCAUGAGCAGUCAGGCUUGGUGCCUCUGGCCUCCGCCCUCCCCUCUCUGUCUAGGGGCCUGAGGAUGCAGGUGUGGGCUGUGUUUACCCUGGCUUUGGUUUCCAAGUCCCUGGAAACCUCUCCCAGGCAAUGCCAGCUAAAGGACAAAUCCUCUGCCUGUGGGAACUUGGGUCUCUCUCAGGAAUGGGAGGUUCAGGCUUUGCCAAGCUCUCUCGGGCCUGAGGCAGAGUGGGCACUGCCCGCUGAGUCCAGCGCCAGGGGCUGAUGGCCAGGGUGUACAGCGAACAGUGCGCUCCCCACUGAGGGCUAGAAACAGGAGCCAGGGAAGCCUGCAGUCAGAGAACAAAUACCUCCCCAAGGAUGCCUGGACCUGAGCUGACUCGGGAGCUCCAUGUGGUGACCGGAUAUGCAGAGUGCAGCAGGGGAGGGGCACCUGUUGGGUGUGAGGACAGGGUGUCCAGCUGGGCUGGCCAGGUGUCAGUCCUGGGGCCAAGGCUCCAGUUGCCAGAGCUCCACCCCUGGGAGGCCCAGAAGACUCCACAGGCCCAGACCUCAGUGUGCCUUUGAGGCACAUGGAGGUGGCCCCUGGGCAGACAGCUGGCAUACUUGGGCUUGGGGAGGGGGACACAGCUCCCUGAGCCCCAGCGUCCUGACACCACUAGGCACAGUGGCCCUGGUUGGUCCUAAGAAUUGGUGCAGGGGGGCUGCCUCCUGGGGCGGGGGGAGCUGGGUCAUAGUACCCCCAUUGAUCUUGAUACCAAGUCCCUUCCUCUCACUGCGGCUUCAAGUCUUGGGGUGGGAUGGGGUGACGUCACUCUCUCUGAUACCCUGGUCCCAGGGAGCUAGGGUCCUACCCCGUGUCCCGUAGCACCAGGGCUGCUCUGUUCAGAAAAACUCACUAGAGGUAAGUGAGCAUGAAGCCACUGCAGUGAGACCAUGGAGCCCACCUGGGUGACCAAAGCCAUGCCUGGCUGCCCCCAUGAUGCAUGUGGGCUCAGGCGGAGGCUGCCUCCUCACCUCCCCUCCCUCACUGGGCAGCUCCAGGCCAAGAUGGGGUGUUUUUUCCUCCUCGUUACAUCAGGGAUGUGGGUAUGAGUUCCUGGAACUCCUUACUGGGUGGAGGGGAUUCCAAGGUCAGUGGCAGGGAAGGCUGAGCCCGGGAAGGCUGAGCCCAGGAAGGUUGGCCAGCUGCCUAAGUGGGGACAGUGCUAAGUCCUCUCAGAGUGGCCCCUGCCUUCCCAGCAUUCCUUCCCACCCAGACGGCUCCAAAAGCAAGGUAUCAGCCUAGAGACAGCGCAGUCUGGGCCCAGGCCAAAAUCUUGAAUGGGGUAGCUGAGGGCAGUGUGACCAGAAACACCUGGGCAGCCACCCAGGUGGACAGAUACCCCAGCAGGCCCAGUGCCAACGCCCCUUCCUGACCCUGGGCUUUGGAGUCUUCAGGGUAAGGCAGACUCUUCCGGGGUCAGGAACUUAGGGGCCUGUGGUGGGCAGUUGGGGUCAGUGGUUAUACCAUGCUCUCUACUUCUGCUGGAAAUUUGGGGUAGUAAAAUGUGCUUUAUUUGCUCAUAAAGCAAAUUCUAAAUAAAAACAAAAUGGAGUUAUGGCUCAGGGGUUAAGGACCCGGUAUUGUUACUGCUGUGGCAUGGGUUCAAUCCCUGGCCUGGAAACUUCUACAUGCUGCUAAGGAGGCCGAAAAAAAAAGCCUUUUGUGGAGUUCAUAUUGUGGCUCAGUUGUAAUGAACCUAACUAGUAUCCAUGAGGAUGUGAGUUCGAUCCCUGGCUCUGCAUAGUGGGUUAAGGAUCUGGCGUUGCUGUGAGCUGCGGUGUAGGUCGCAGACUCUGCUUGGAUCCUGCAUUGCUGGGGCUGUGAUGUAGGCCGGCAGCUGCAACUCUGAUUCAACCCCUAGCCUGGAAACUUCCGUAUCUAUACCUCGCAGGUGUAUAGGGCCUUAAAAAGCCUUUUGCGUUGCAAAUUGUGAAGAAAACUCCUGGUUUGCAGUCAGUGGGCCUCUAGCACCAACUAUGAGACAUCUCUGAGCCUCGGUUUCCUUGCCUAUAAAAUGGGGGUAAUACGAGCACUUUGUCUCAGGUGCUCGAGGGCAUUCAGAAUGAGUGAUCGGAAGCACAGGAGCUGUUGCUGAGCACUGCCUAGCCCUCCUGCAACCCCACCCUGAGCUCUGGGCCCUGCUGGUCUGAGGCAGCAAGAAGGGGCUCGGCUCUGAGUCCCUGGGGUCCCCUCCUGCCUCCAUCCUGAACAGGUUGUGCCUCUGGAAGCUCAGUCUCCCCAUCUGUGAAAUGAAGUGAAUGAAGUCAGCAAGGCUCCCCUCUUCUUCCUCUGUCACCUCCUCUGGGAUGUCUUCCCUGGCCACUGUUUUAAAAACCUAUCUGUCCUUUCCUUCUUCCCUGAUAGGUUUUUCUCACCUACCACUUCCAGACGAGUCACCUUGUUUAUUCAUAUUUACCUUCUCUCUCCUCUCUAUAUGUCUGGCACCAUGAGGGUCUAGAACAGUGCCUGGAAGUCUGCUGAGUAAAUAUCUCAGGCGUGUUGAAUGAAUGCCGUUGGCCAAUACCGGAAGCCAGCCCAUUGAGCCAUCAGCCCUGU